rnacentral:piRNA from 1 species
UACAUCAGCAAAAAGUCUCAUCCCUAGCUU